rnacentral:lncRNA from 1 species
CAAUUCAAUUAGUUAAAACUAGUCCAAUAAACAAAUGCAUUUGGGACAACUGGAUAUUCAUAUGCAAAAGGUGUAUCAUAUCCAUUAACUCAGAUUAGCUCAAAGUGGAUAAUAGACCUAAAUAUAAGAAUUAAAUUAUACGACUCUUAGAAAAUGUUAAGAGUCCGAGUCCUGGUUAGGCAAUAGUUUCUUAAAUAGGACACCAAAAUAUAAGUAACAAAACAAAAAUUGAUGGAUUGGACUUCACCAGAAUUAAAACUCUUGUGCUUCAAAGAACACUUUCUAGGAAGUGAAAAUACAACUCACAGAAUGGGAGAAAACAUUUGUAAAGCAUCCAUCUGAUUAGGUACUUGCAUUCAGAGUAUAUGUAGAACCAUUACAGCUUAACAAUAAGAAGACAACCCAAUUUUAAAAUGGGCAAAGCAUUCAAAAAAAUUCCUCCAGUGAGGUAUUUGUCCAAAUCCCUAGAUCUGUUCCUAGUUUUGUUGACUAUUUUCAUUAUGAAAGUGGUUUUUUUAAAUUUUAUCAAAUGGCAAACAAGCAAAUAAAAACAUUCUCAUGAUCAUUGGUUUUUAGGGAAAUGCAAAUAAUCAAACCACAUUGAGAUAGUACUUCACACCCAUUAGAAUGGCUAAAAUAAAAAAAAUUUUUAAAGUGUUGGUAGUGGGAUUUUAAAAUGGUUCAUCACUUUGGCAAACAGUGUGGCAUCUCCUCAACAUGUUAAACAUGAAGAUAAUGAUGUCCCAGCAAUUACAUUCCUAGAUAUAGAGCCAAUUGAACUGAAAAUAUAUAUCCACAAAAGAACUUACAUGAAACCCCAUAUCAGAAUUAUUCAUAAUAUUCAAAGGUUGAAAUUACUCAAGUGUCAAUCAACUAAUGAAUAAACAAAACAUGAUAUGCCCAUACAGUAGAAUAUUAUUUGGCCAUAGAAAUACAACAUGAACAAACCUUGAAAAGAUCAUGUUAAGUCAAAGAAGCUAGACAUAAAAGCUACACAUUGUAUGACUAGAGUUAUAUGAAAUGUUUAAAAUAUGCAAAUUCAUAGAGAUAGAAGUGAAGUAGUG